GGUCCUGAGUUCGAAAAGAUUGAUGAGAAAAGCCUGGGGCAGUGGGUAUUAAUUUAUUUUCAUGUUUAAAGGAAAUCUAGACACCAUUUUGUUGAACUGUAAAUCAUCACUACAAAAAACUCAUUGAGCAGCUCUUAAGUAUUAGAUAGUAGAACAGAAGGGCAGGAACUUCAGGGAGCUAUAGAAAAAAUACUUUAAUUCUCUGUUUUUAAACAGUAUGAAAUGUUUACCUAUGUGAUUUUAUUUUUUGGCUUUUUAAUUUAAAAGAAAGACCAAAAUAAACGCUUGCCAACUUUCCCAUAGAUGUCCUCAGACAAACGUUGGGAAACCAAGUGAAUGCUUGCUUGUUUCUGUAUAAAGCCGUCCAAAGUCCUGUGCAGUGAGACUUUCAGCCCGCUGUCGAAGGCAUAGAAAGGCUACUUUCUGCUGCUGCCAGUUUAUACCCACACGUAAAGAAACCUUGUACUGUUACUAUUUUCUAUUGUGGGCACACAGCAGAGUUUGUGGGUGCAAGGGAUGCAUGCCACAUCUCACCUUCAUGAGAUGGCCUGUCGGUAUGCAGAGCACAUGGCAGUAUCCACCAGCCCUUGUGACCUGUCACUCUGGCAUAUGAAUGCUGCUUUCUGUCCAUCGCAUCAGCCUGAAUCUGGGCACUCAGCAGGGUCUGGUCAGUUUGCCUUUCUUCAGGAUUCUAGAGGCAGCUGUUCUGAAGAAAUACCCCCAGCUCUGGUUGAGACUGCUAGACUUAAGCUGGUCCCAUAGGAGGCAAACUGCUGAGAAGCAUUUAGUGGCAUGGCUAGUAAUGAUGUAUAAAUUUUUUCUCUGAAAAUGGUUAUUUUCCAAUCCAGUCCCUUAAUAUGUGAUGUGGUUGUGCCUCAGAAAUCCCUUCCUUUCAUAAUGGUCUUGUACUACUGAAAUGUCUUGCAUUUCUGUGUCUUGCUUAAGUUCAGAACUUGGUCAAACCGAGUUUAGGAACUUAGAGCCACAUUGUCUUAUAUUGCAGUAAAUUUGUGAGUUGUGAGUGGAUAUUUCCAUAAGAAUGCACAUUCAUUCUGUUUCUCUUUUCAGGAGUCUUGUCAGCAGUGCCAGCUCCUUGGCAUUUUGUAUGACACUACAUCAUGAGUGACAGCAAAUGUGAUAGUUUUACAGUGUGCAAGUGGCAGACUCAACUUUCACUGUCCUGAAAUGGUACCAGCAGUUGAAACCAAUUGGCUCUGGAGCCCAAGGGAUUGUUUGUGCUGCUUUUGAUACAGUUCUUGGUGUAAGACCGAGGGCCUUACCAAAUGCUCCGAGGAGCUGACUGCAGCAAAGAACACCCAGGAAGGAACACACCAGACAAGUUGGAAAAUAAAACAGACCUUUAUUAGUCUGACCAGAUGGCACUCCGAAAGCAAACUAGCUUAGAGAGGCAACUGGCUCAGAGUCCGAGGCUGUUCUUAUAGGGGGUUGAGGGGGAAGUUAACAUAUAGAAUUAAAGAAAAGGGACAAAGGUUAGUGGUCAACUGUCACGUAUUGAUGGUCAGCAGACAUUUGCAGCUUGUUCUAUAGAUUGUGGUGUCUGGAACAUCAGUUCCGGGCAAACAAGGAGUUGAG
ensembl:lncRNA